rnacentral:rRNA from 1 species
CGCUGGCGGCGUGCCUAAUACAUGCAAGUCGAGCGGAUUUCACCUUCGGGUGAAGUUAGCGGCGGACGGGUGAGUAACACGUAGGCAACCUGCCUGUAAGACUGGGAUAACUAUCGGAAACGAUAGCUAAGACCGGAUAGCUGGAUGGAACGCAUGUUCCGUUCAUGAAACACGGAGCAAUCUGUGGCUUACAGAUGGGCCUGCGGCGCAUUAGCUAGUUGGUGAGGUAACGGCUCACCAAGGCGACGAUGCGUAGCCGACCUGAGAGGGUGAUCGGCCACACUGGGACUGAGACACGGCCCAGACUCCUACGGGAGGCAGCAGUAGGGAAUCUUCCGCAAUGGACGCAAGUCUGACGGAGCAACGCCGCGUGAGUGAUGAAGGUUUUCGGAUCGUAAAGCUCUGUUGCCAGGGAAGAACGCCUUAGAGAGUAACUGCUCUAAGGGUGACGGUACCUGAGAAGAAAGCCCCGGCUAACUACU